UGGGGAAUCUUGCACAAUGGGGGAAACCCUGAUGCAGCGACGCCGCGUGAGCGAUGAAGGUUUUCGAAUCGUAAAGCUCUGUCCUAUGGGAAGAUAAUGACGGUACCAUAGGAGGAAGCCCCGGCUAACUACGUGCCAGCAGCCGCGGUAAUACGUAGGGGGCGAGCGUUGUCCGGAAUUACUGGGCGUAAAGGGUUCGCAGGCGGCAUGACAAGCCCGAUGUAAAAGGCGAAAGCUCAACUUUCGUAAGCAUCGGAAACUGUCAAGCUUGAGUGAAGGAGAGGCAAGUGGAAUUCCUAGUGUAGCGGUGGAAUGCGUAGAUAUUAGGAGGAAUACCGGUGGCGAAGGCGACUUGCUGGACUUCAACUGACGCUGAGGAACGAAAGCGUGGGUAGCAAACAGG
rnacentral:rRNA from 1 species